ACCUGGCUGGUUCAGUAGGUAGAGCAUGUGACUUUUAAUCUCAGGGUCAUGGGUUCAAGCCCCAUGUUGGGCA